rnacentral:rRNA from 1 species
ACGAACGCUGGCGGCGUGCUUUACACAUGCAAGUCGAGCGGUAAGGCCCUUUCGGGGGUACACGAGCGGCGAACGGGUGAGUAACACGUGAGUAAUCUGCCCUUCACUUGGGGAUAAGCACCGGAAACGGUGUCUAAUACCCGAUACGACACAGUCCUGCAUGGGAUCUGUGUGGAAAGUUUUUUCGGUGGGGGAUGUGCUCGCGGCCUAUCAGCUUGUUGGUGGGGUAAUGGCCUACCAAGGCUUCGACGGGUAGCCG